GAUGAACGCUGGCGGCGUGCCUAAUACAUGCAAGUCGAGCGAACGGACGAGAAGCUUGCUUCUCUGAUGUUAGCGGCGGACGGGUGAGUAACACGUGGAUAACCUACCUAUAAGACUGGGAUAACUUCGGGAAACCGGAGCUAAUACCGGAUAAUAUUUUGAACCGCAUGGUUCAAAAGUAAAAGACGGUCUUGCUGUCACUUAUAGAUGGAUCCGCGCUGCAUUAGCUAGUUGGUAAGGUAACGGCUUACCAAGGCAACGAUGCAUAGCCGACCUGAGAGGGUGAUCGGCCACACUGGAACUGAGACACGGUCCAGACUCCUACGGGAGGCAGCAGUAGGGAAUCUUCCGCAAUGGGCGAAAGCCUGACGGAGCAACGCCGCGUGAGUGAUGAAGGUCUUCGGAUCGUAAAACUCUGUUAUUAGGGAAGAAUAUAUGUGUAAGUAACUGUGCACAUCUUGACGGUACCUAAUCAGAAAGCCACGGCUAACUACGUGCCAGCAGCCGCGGUAAUACGUGGGUGGCAAGCGUUAUCCGGAAUUAUUGGGCGUAAAGCGCGCGUAGGCGGUUUUUUAAGUCUGAUGUGAAAGCCCACGGCUCAACCGUGGAGGGUCAUUGGAAACUGGAAAACUUGAGUGCAGAAGAGGAAAGUGGAAUUCCAUGUGUAGCGGUGAAAUGCGCAGAGAUAUGGAGGAACACCAGUGGCGAAGGCGACUUUCUGGUCUGUAACUGACGCUGAUGUGCGAAAGCGUGGGGAUCAAACAGGAUUAGAUACCCUGGUAGUCCACGCCGUAAACGAUGAGUGCUAAGUGUUAGGGGGUUUCCGCCCCUUAGUGCUGCAGCUAACGCAUUAAGCACUCCGCCUGGGGAGUACGACCGCAAGGUUGAAACUCAAAGGAAUUGACGGGGACCCGCACAAGCGGUGGAGCAUGUGGUUUAAUUCGAAGCAACGCGAAGAACCUUACCAAAUCUUGACAUCCUUUGACAACUCUAGAGAUAGAGCCUUCCCCUUCGGGGGACAAAGUGACAGGUGGUGCAUGGUUGUCGUCAGCUCGUGUCGUGAGAUGUUGGGUUAAGUCCCGCAACGAGCGCAACCCUUAAGCUUAGUUGCCAUCAUUAAGUUGGGCACUCUAAGUUGACUGCCGGUGACAAACCGGAGGAAGGUGGGGAUGACGUCAAAUCAUCAUGCCCCUUAUGAUUUGGGCUACACACGUGCUACAAUGGACAAUACAAAGGGCAGCGAAACCGCGAGGUCAAGCAAAUCCCAUAAAGUUGUUCUCAGUUCGGAUUGUAGUCUGCAACUCGACUACAUGAAGCUGGAAUCGCUAGUAAUCGUAGAUCAGCAUGCUACGGUGAAUACGUUCCCGGGUCU
rnacentral:rRNA from 1 species